AAGGGUGUAGCUCAGUGGUAGAGCACGUGCUUAGCAUGGACAAGGUUCUGGGUUCAAUCCUCAGUACCUCCA
rnacentral:tRNA from 1 species